rnacentral:rRNA from 1 species
CCUACGGGUGGCAGCAGUGGGGAAUAUUGCACAAUGGGGGAAACCCUGAUGCAGCAACGCCGCGUGAGUGAUGACGGUCUUCGGGUUUUAAAGCUCUUUCUUCAGGGACGAUAAUUACGGUUCCUGAGGAGGAAGCCCCGGCACACUACGGUCCAGCAGCCGCGGUAAUACGUAGGUGGCGAGCUUUGUCCGGAUUUUAUGGGCGUAAAGGGGGCGUAGGCGGGUAUUUAAGUUAGAUGUGAAAUACUCGGGCUCAACCUGAGUGCAGCACUUCAAACUGGAAGUCUAGAGUGCAGUAGAGGAGAAUGGAAUUCCUAGUGUAGCGGUGAAAUGCGUAGAGAUUAGGAAGAACACCAGUGGCGAAGGCGAUUCUCUGGACUGUAACUGACGCUGAGGCUCGAAAGCGUGGGGAGCAAACAGGAUUAGAUACCCUAGUAGUC